GACGAACGCUGGCGGCGUGCUUAACACAUGCAAGUCGAACGGUGAUGCUCCAGCUUGCUGGAGUGGAUCAGUGGCGAACGGGUGAGUGACACGUGAGCAACCUGCCCCAGACUCUGGAAUAAGCGCUGGAAACGGCGUCUAAUACUGGAUACGAAACUGGCCCGCAUGGGCAUGGUUUGGAAAGUUUUUCGGUUUGGGAUGGGCUCGCGGCCUAUCAGCUUGUUGGUGAGGUAAUGGCUCACCAAGGCGACGACGGGUAGCCGGCCUGAGAGGGCGACCGGCCACACUGGGACUGAGACACGGCCCAGACUCCUACGGGAGGCAGCAGUGGGGAAUAUUGCACAAUGGGCGAAAGCCUGAUGCAGCGACGCCGCGUGAGGGAUGACGGCCUUCGGGUUGUAAACCUCUUUCAGCAGGGAAGAAGCGAAAGUGACGGUACCUGCAGAAGAAGCACCGGCUAACUACGUG
rnacentral:rRNA from 1 species